AUUGAACGCUGGCGGCAUGCUUUACACAUGCAAGUCGAACGGUAACAGGUCUUCGGAUGCUGACGAGUGGCGAACGGGUGAGUAAUACAUCGGAACGUGCCUAGUAGUGGGGGGUAACUACUCGAAAGAGUAGCUAAUACCGCAUGAGAUCUACGGAUGAAAGCAGGGGACCUUCGGGCCUUGUGCUACUAGAGCGGCUGAUGGCAGAUUAGGUAGUUGGUGGGGUAAAGGCUUACCAAGCCUGCGAUCUGUAGCUGGUCUGAGAGGACGACCAGCCCCACUGGGACUGAGACACGGCCCAGACUCCUACGGGAGGCAGCAGUGGGGAAUUUUGGACAAUGGGCGAAAGCCUGAUCCAGCAAUGCCGCGUGCAGGAUGAAGGCCCUCGGGUUGUAAACUGCUUUUGUACGGAACGAAAAGCCUGGGGCUAAUAUCCCCGGGUCAUGACGGUACCGUAAGAAUAAGCACCGGCUAACUACGUGCCAGCCGCCGCAGUAAAAC
rnacentral:rRNA from 1 species